GGCCUCUUUUCCAUGGGCCAGCAGGGGGUUCUUUCCCCCUCAGCCAGGGCUGGAGGCCAAGAUCAACCCUUGAGGAUUAUUGUCGGGGCUGACACGAGCUGGGCAGCCUUGUUUUCCUACUUCAGACAUUU
rnacentral:snoRNA from 1 species